UGAUAUCGAAUAUGGGAUA
rnacentral:miRNA from 1 species